ACAUACCACACACAUACUACACAAACACGCAUACACACACAUACACGUACACACACACAUACACACACCUACAUGAAUCCACAUACACAAACACACACACACAUACUGCGUAGAGAGGAACAGGAGCUUCAUGAAGAUAGAGGCCUAUUUUUACCCACUGCUUUCUCUUCACUUUCUAAAAAGUGGUUCCAUGUGCUGAAAUAAUUAAUGGCCUUUCUUCCCCUGACUGCUGGGAGCCUGCAGCCACAUAGGCCUCUCCUGUCCUCAGCCCCUGCAUGCCUGGUGCUCGCCAGGGCUGAACAGGAGUUAAGGUGACACCCCUGGUUCCAACCCUGAGCCUCCAUGUCUAGCACUGGCCCUGGGUGGCAUCUGCAGUGGGUGCUCUGGGUGCCAUCCACAAUCCUACUUUACGACAGAGACCAUGCUUCCCCUUGGGCCACUCUGGAAGCAACCCAGCUCCUGUGUUACGCAGAGUUCAGCAGAGUCCUCUGUGGUAGCCCAGCCACAGAGCUGCUUCUCUGUCGCCCCUCCACCCUCACAGGCCUGCGGAUAAGCUCAACCCACAUCUCCACUUCGGUGUCUGUUUCCAGGGGCCAGCUGGGGCCAGCAGUGAAUCUCCAGGCUGCAGCGGUGGCAGCCGGGACGGGAGCCCCUUGGAAGGAAAUGCACUGGCAGCUGCAGCAUCUCGGGUGCUGGAGAGUUUGGGAAAGUCGCAGACCCAUGGACUAUGGAAUCAGGUGGCUCCUGCUGAGGGCAAGAUAAUGAGAAGAUCACCACCUGAAACAAAAGGGUGGCACAUUAACCAGCCUCGUCGGUGGCACAUAAGACACUCAUCUCCUGUGUAAGACAUUCAUCACAUAAGACACUCAUCUCCUGUGGCCAGAGGAGAACCAAAAAACUGAUCAGAGCUAGGAUUUAACUGAAGACAGAGCUUCAGAGAAUGCCAGGUGCUCAGCCUCAGAAGGUGCUGUUCCAGAGCUGUGUACUCAGUUUCAGAAGGCGCUAUUGCAGGGCCGUGUGCUCAGACUGGGAAGGCGCCGUUCCAGGGCCGGGUGCUCGGACUCGGAAGGCGCUGUUCCAGGGCUGGGUGCUCGGACUCGGAAGGCGCUGUUCCAAGGUCUGGACCCUGGCUGGGAAGAAGGGAGGCCCUGAAACUUGGGAUGGGGCCAUCUGAAUGAAUGCACUCAAAAAUCUUGAAUCCCAGAUUCCUGUAAAUCUGCUGGGCUGAAGAGGUGUCACAUUUCUCCUCUUAAGGGAAAAUGCUGUUUGUGUGCUUGAAGACGCUGCAGAGACCUCUGCAAGAUGGUACGGACAUGCCUGCUACCACCUCCAGCUCCAUUCCCCCAGGUCAGCAUCACCAAGCUGGAGAAGCGCUGUGGCUGAAAAUGGAGGAAGAGACACUCAGCCAAGGAGCUUCAGAACCAAAAGGUAUGCAGCAGCAUGAUCCAGGGGUAAAUGCAGAACUGGAUCCAAAGAACGCUGGAUUCAGGGGAGGCAGAAGGUAGAGUUUGAUGCUGUUAGAGUUCAUUGACAUGGGCACAUUUGACCAUGACACAGAGUUUAGCACCUGGGAGGUGCUCCGUGUUGCUAGGAUGGCCUUUUGAACUUAUAAAAUAAAGCAAUGUCCCACAUUAAGCAGUGGUCGUCCGGAUUGGAAAUGGAGCAUCAUGGUCUCGUUCUCGUCUUCUUGAAAUGCACAGAGAGGAAAGAUGCAGCCUAGACCGCCGAGUCACCAAGCAGACAGCUGCCGUCCUGGAGGGUGGCCGGGCUGGGUCUGCAAGUGUCACAGACGAGAGCUGUCCUGGAAGGUGGCUGGGUCUGCAGACGUCCCCUUGAGGGCAGCUGGGUCUGCCAGUGUCUUUGUGUAAGUGACAUAUAAACUUGUGCUGUGUAAAGCCAAUAAAAUUUGGGAAUCAUUGGCAUAGCCCAAGCCUAGCUAUCCUCACUAAUACCAAACCUUAAUUGAGUUUAUAUGGGAUUUUAUUUGAUUAAUUACAAUGUCAAUCUGAGCUAAUAGUAAAAUAGAACUCCAUGUAUUUAAAUGCAUUCACCUGUUGAAUGGAUUUGUGUAAUGCCUCGAUGCUAAUUAUAAAAUCCAUUCUAUCAAAAUGACCAUUUUUUGUCAUAAUAAAGUUAACUUAUCUUUUACCCUAAUUUGCCAAACAUUCCGUUGCUUUUAGGGGACACCCCUGAAGUAAGCAAUUAACUAGGCUUCAAAUCUUUGCCCGAAGUCUAAAAGGAGAGGGGUGCCUGGUCAACAUGAUUUGGGAUGGGAAUUUACUGUCAAGGCCCUAUUCUGACACUGCAGCUCCCACAGCAGAGCCUCUGAGGGAGCACAGACAGCCUGGAGCUGUGGGGUGUCCUGCAUCUGACCCGAGGGGCCAUCACUGGAGACCCAGCAGAGAAUGCAGCAAAAGCCUCACACUGCUCUUGAAAUGGAUUCCAUUGACAGACUAAGAGCUGCUCCGUCUGCGAAACGUUAGAUUGAAGCACUCUACAUAAUGAAAAACAUUAAAAAGGCAAACCUGUGCCCUCAUGUCCCCUGCUGUGACUCAGUAUCGUUUCUCCUUCAAGGUUUUAUCCAUAUUCGCACACAGUUUUAUGCAGCAGUAGUGCAUGUAUCUGAAUAUUUGCCCUGUUAAGCAGCUUAUUAUUGAACAAAGCUCAUUGAGCACCUGGGCCGUGUCCACCUGCCAGGCCCUCUGGGAUAACAGAGAAAGAGAGCGCGGCCCUGAGAUCGAGCUCACACCGCCCACCCGCUGGAGAGCGUGUCUUUCUGCAGCCUUCCCCUGCCCAGGGCUGGUUCAGGGCGGAAAGGUGAGGCCGGAAAGAGCCACCAAAGGGAGCCCUCGAUGCGGGCAGCAGUGGGUGUGGACACGGUGGCGGCACCGCACAGAGCACUGAAAGCCUCCUGCCUGGCUGAGGAGAGCUGCCCGUCUCUCCGAGUGGCCCAUCCUAGGUACCCUGGAGCCUCACAAGCUCAGUCACCAACGUCCCAGCUUCAGGGAGGGGUGGGGCAGGAAAUUCACCACCACAUUGUGCAGGGCGGAGAUGGGAGGGCAGAGGGAGCCACUCAGGGCCCCCUGCAGAAGCCGUGGACGAAUGCUGUGAGUGCCACUCGGCCCACAAAUCCCUGGCGCCUUGACUGUGACGGUGACCACGGCUGCUUUUAUUAUACCCAGGAUAGUGCGUCGCUGCACAAAUUACCUUUCAUUUCUUCAAAGUUUCCUGUGAACCUAACUCACCUCCCCAGAUGGUCUCCCAAUUUCAUCAUCUGUAAACUGCAGGGCUGUGCCAGGGCUGAGUUGCCUGUGGUGGGUGUCCUGUGUCUGGCAGACAAGAAACAGGCAGCUAGAGGUAGCUUUUCUCUCGGUGAUUUUUCCCGAGAGCACGGGUGGGCGUUUUUCCUUUCUGCCAUCCCCCUGCCACUGCACACUGCGUGGAGCCCCUGGUGGAUCUGCAGAUCUAACUCUUGUGCCGACAUAAACCACAGCAGGGCCACAGAACAGAAGCCAAGGCAUGGCAUCAUCCCUGGGGCCCUGGGCCGAGAAUCUGUGGGGGAGCCCCCGCAGGACGCUCAGCCUUCUCCCACCCACAAGGAAGGCUGUAGAUUAGGACCAUCCCAACUCCCUCUCUCCCUGUCCUGUGCCCCGAAGGCCUGAAGGGAGCUUGGCCCGGGGGCGGGGAGGUGGCCUUGGACCUCCCGCCCUUCACAGGCACAUUCAUGCUGGGGGCUGCCUCCCUUAGCAGGAGGAAAAUACCUUCAAAAUGUGCAAUGCAUGAAAACACAAAUGCUCACUGCAGAUGCAUUUGUGAGAGCAAAACACUGGAGGCAACCUUCAGCCGGUCCUCAGCAGGUGAAGGCCGCGUGGAAAGCAGACGCCAGCGGGUGCAGCGUCGCAGGCGAGCCUCAGGGGACCUGGGCUGAGUGACGGGAGACGACCUCAAGAUGACAAAGGCACAGAAACAGAAAACAGAUUGAUUGAAGAAAGCUUGGGGGUCAGGAGAAAGCGGAGAAUGAGGAUGAGUGAGAACGUGAGCCACUCCCCAAGGCCGCCUCUGAAGACAGCCUCUGACAGGGGAGGCUCCUGUGUGGCUUCGAGGUCACUGGGCCGACCGGGUUUCUGCCCUUACAGCAGGUUAACAACAAAACUUCAACCCCAACCCCAGUGGCUAUGAAAGCAGCAUCGGGGUCCUGGGACGAAGUCACUCCUAAUCCCGCCUCUGCUACAUCCCAGCUGUGUCUGUUCCUGUGUUCCCUUCCUGCAGUUUUCCUCCACAGCAUCCGUGUUCUCAUGGGGUUCUAAGGCACUAGAGGCUCCAGCCACACACCAUGCUCACAGAAGCUAAAAUUCGUCUCCCCCACCGAAGAAAAAAAAGCAACCAGGCACUCUUCUUCAUUCUGAAAAUUGAAAAUCAGGCUUUUUAUUUGUUUGUUUUGUUUUUAACCUCGUACAGUAUCGUUUCUAAACCACAGACAGUGAAUCCAAAUCUGAAGACGGAAUAGACUGAGCCUCGGGGAUGCUCGGGCUCAUGUCACCUGUGCCCACCCCCUUGAUUUACCACCCUUGAAAGAAUGCUCAGUCUCAGCCAUGGCCAGUGGCAGCCCCUGCCUUCUGCUCUCUGCGAGGAAGGGCCUUGAGGGCAGCAGUGAAGAAAUGCUCUGAAUCCUCGGAACAGCUCCAGAGACCAGUGGGCAGGCCUUGUUCAUGUGUGUGGGCCUGACUUCCCCUGGCCUGACUUCACAUGCACACGCACACACACAGAUUACCCACAUGUCCAUUCAAACAAGCAACUUAAUAACAAGGAAAUUAAAAAAAGAAAGAUGAUUAGACCCAAAUGAGAAUCACAAGGUGGAUCCCAGUGAGAGCAGCCUGCCGCAUCACAAUCACUGCUGUGUCUGAGAACAGGACUUUCCAAUUUGGCAGCUGAUCCAAACUGAUGCCCAGGACCUAUUUUAAGCAGUGAAUCAAAGAUCACAGAAGUUAGAGAUUGGCAAGCUUUCAAUGUCAAGGAGAUGCAAAGCCUAAAAACAGUUUCUGAGCCACGAAAUUAGAGGGAACAGCCUUGCUGGUGAAUUUUCCAGAAUUCCACAAACAAUUAAGAAGUCCCAGGAAUGGCAGGAAGUGAUGAGGGCAGCCGAGGUUUUGAGAGCUCAUGUGUGGCAGGCGCUGUGGCUGGUGCAUCAGGUGACAUUAUGUUGCUUUUCUCAGCUGUAAGGUGGCUGCUGUGGUCGAUGGAGCUUCCUUUGCUGGCAGGACUGGGUGUGUUCUUCUGGCUGCAGCUCACCACCAUGCUGGGAGCGGCUCAUAGGCAUUCGGUGUGUACUGGUUUUUUCCUGAGACCACAGCAGCUGCACCUGGAAAUCGUCACACAGAGUGACUUCUCAGAUGGCAGAAAGUGACAAAUGACACUUGGUUCUCCCUCUUCGGCAACUGUGAAAUAACAGGGGUGCCACACAAAUUUAUGGGGCCAUUGUCUUGCUGUCAAAUUUUCUCCUUAAGAAAUUCUUUAAAAAGAGAGAGAUAGCAUUCUUGGCCACAUGCAUGUCUGUCGCUAAUGAUCAGGUUUCUUCUGUGUUCAGGUGGAGGCAGUUCAUAUUUUCCACCAGGACCAGACAACACUGGCAUAUCACCUACAAAGCUCAGUAAAUGUUAAAAUGUGAUUAAAUAAACAAGUGUUGAAUUUCAGAAUACCGACUUCUAUUUUUUUUUCCUCAAAAGACAUCUGCUUACCAAUCUGUGUUACUGGGGCUGAAGGCCAUGCUCCUUCCAAUGGUGGGACGACGCUCAAGUGCGAAUUUAUUACAAUUCUAAGUUUCCCUUCACCACUGCUGAUGGCGUAAAGUGCUUUGCAAAUACAUCACACCUGGUCUUCCAGGGCCCACCUCCACCAUGGGUCUGACUCAGAAUUUUCCGACAGGGAUG